UAAAAAUUUUAUUUUAGUUAUAAAAAUUAGUUUUUAUAUUUCAUUAUAUGUAAAUUUUAUUUUAAGAAUAAUUGUCAGUAUUUAAAUUUAAAUAUUCAAGUAAUUGAUAUUUAGAAAUUAUAUUUAAUAUAAACUAAACUUGUGCCAGCAGUUGCGGUUAUACAAAUUAUAUAAGUUAAUUUAUAUUAAUUAAAAUUUUUUUGAAAUUAAAUUUUUUAAUUAAAUUUAUUAAGUGAAAUUUUAAAUUUUAAUUAAAAUUUUUAUUUUAAAAUAUAUUUAAAAAUUUAGAAUUUAAACUAGGAUUAGAUACCCUAUUAUUUUAAUAGUAUAUUAAAAUUAAAUUAGUAUUAGUUAUGUUCUUUAAAAUUAAAAAAUUUGGCGGUAUUUUAGUCUUUUUAGAGGAACCUGUUUAUUAAAUGAUAGUCCACGAUUUUAUUUAUUUACUUUAUUAACUUAUAUAUCGUCGUUAUUAAAUAUUUUAUUAGAAUUAAUAUUUAAAAUUUUUAAUUAAAAAUUUAAAUCAGAUCAAGAUGUAGUUUAUAAGUAAAUUUAAAUGGGUUAUAUUAAAAUUAUUUUUGGAUAAAUAUAUUUAUUGUAUUUUGAAUUUAGAUUUAAAAGUAAUUUAAAUAGAUUAAUUUAUGUGAUUAAGCUCUAAAAUAUGUACAUAUUGCCCGUCGCUUUCAUUUAAUAUGGAAUAAGUCGUAACAAAGUAGAUUUACUGGAAAGUGAAUCUAGAUUCAA
rnacentral:ncRNA from 1 species